rnacentral:rRNA from 1 species
CACGUAGGGGGCAAGCGUUGUCCGGAUUUAUUGGGCGUAAAGAGCUCGUAGGUGGUUCGGUAAGUCGGGUGUGAAACCUCCAGGCUCAACCUGGAGACGCCACCCGAUACUGCUGUGACUGGAGUCCGGUAGGGGAGCGUGGAAUUCCUGGUGUAGCGGUGAAAUGCGCAGAUAUCGGGAGGGACACCAACGGCGAAGGCAGCUCGCUGGGACGUGACUGACGCUGAGACGCGAAAGCGUGGGGAGCAAACAGG